UACAGAGGGUGCAAGCGUUGUUCGGAAUUACUGGGCGUAAAGCGUGCGUAGUCGGUAUUGAGAGUCACGGGUGAAAUCCCAAGGCUUAACCUUGGAACUGCCUGUGAGACCUCAGUACUAGAGUGUGAGAGGGGAUAGUGGAAUACCCAGUGUAGCGGUGAAAUGCGUAGAUAUUGGGAGGAACACCAGUGGCGAAGGCGGCUCACUGGACCGGUUCUGACGCUGAGGCGCGAAAGCGUGGGGAGCAAACGGG
rnacentral:rRNA from 1 species